rnacentral:lncRNA from 1 species
GUGAAAGUUCUUUUGUAUACUCCUUAAUGAAUCUAUGGAAAUGUGGAUGGCCAACACCUUGGCAACUCCAAAACAUUAAUUUUGUAUCCAUAAAUAACAAAUGAGAGAAAAGAUAAAACACACCCAUAGGGCAAGGAAGAGAACCAAUCCAUAUGCUUCUCAUUCCGACUAUCUUCAACAUCAAUCGUCUCCAUCAAAAUGUUGUCCUAAACAACCAUAGAAACAUGGCUUGAAUCUCUUUUUAUUCUUGAUAUAAUUUCCUCCAUAGCUGUCAUUACCUCCACCAUUAUGUGUUAAGACCUUGAAGCCCCUACAUCCGGCGGUUUUCGCGAUCGAGGAACAUCCAUGUAUAAAGGCUCUUGACCUGUCUUCUUACUUGUUAUGUCCUUCGGUUUUGAUAAUUCCAAAACUACGCUUGAUUCCCCAAUAUUCCUUUUCUUUCUGUGAACUGAAUCAAAAUUUU